rnacentral:tRNA from 1 species
GCCGGAGUGGUGGAAUUGGUAGACACAGGGGACUUAAAAUCCCCUGGCCCGGAAGGGCCGUGCCGGUUCAAGUCCGGCCUCCGGCA